rnacentral:rRNA from 1 species
UACGUAGGGUGCAAGCGUUAAUCGGAAUUACUGGGCGUAAAGCGUGCGCAGGCGGCUUUGCAAGACAGAUGUGAAAUCCCCGGGCUCAACCUGGGAACUGCAUUUGUGACUGCACGGCUGGAGUGCGGCAGAGGGGGAUGGAAUUCCGCGUGUAGCAGUGAAAUGCGUAGAUAUGCGGAGGAACACCGAUGGCGAAGGCAAUCCCCUGGGCCUGCACUGACGCUCAUGCACGAAAGCGUGGGGAGCAAACAGG